UACGUAGGGUGCGAGCGUUGUCCGGAAUUAUUGGGCGUAAAGGGCUCGUAGGCGGUUUGUCGCGUCGGGAGUGAAAACCCAGGGCUUAACCCUGGGCUGGCUUUCGAUACGGGCAGACUAGAGGUAUGCAGGGGAGAACGGAAUUCCUGGUGUAGCGGUGAACUGCGCAGAUAUCAGGAGGAACACCGGUAGCGAGGGCGGUUCUCUGGGCAUUACCUGACGCUAAGGAGCGAAAGUGUGGGGAGCGAACAGG
rnacentral:rRNA from 1 species